UGAAGCUCGUCUCCUCCCCUCAUAUCUUCAGCAUAUUCCUUAAUUUUCAUAGCAGAAUCUUCAAGUUGAGGGCUCUCUACAAGUUUGAUAAUUUUCAAUGAACUAAUAUCCCCGAAAAUAGGUGGAAUCUCCUCAAGCUCAUGACAUCCCUGCAGUUUUAAUUUCUCAAGGGAGGGAAAGGAUUCCUCUCCAACCUCCCACUUGGAAAGUGUCAUUUCAUGCAACUUCAAAUAUUUGAGAUUCUCAAAGGUGUCUUCCUCCCCCAUGUUCCAUUCUUCCCCAUGGAUGAUUGUAUGACCAAGGUACAACUCUUCAAGGUUGGACAGUCUCGCUAUUGUUGAUAGUGAAUUGGAUGUCAGAGGAAAGUCAACCAGACGCAAUUUUUUCAGAUUCAAAGGGAAGUAAAAAUUCCAUGGCCGAUUUAUGGCUGCAGAGGACCCACUGUCAUUUGUGUUUGAACUUUCAAAACCUACAUUGAGGUCUUCUAGUUCAGUUAGGCAAUCCAAUUUCGGGAACCAGUAUUGCUCUGUUGAAUAAUCCCAUGAUUCCUUGAGUUCAAACUGAGGCAAUUGAAGAUUGGGAAACCUUUUGAAAAUAACCUCUGUAUCUUUCGAAUAGGAAAGAAUGAGUUGCCCUAAUAUUUUCAACUUCUCUAACUUUGUGUCCUCUGCUAUCAGUAUUGAUUCAUCUGCAUACAAAUCAAAGAAAGAGCAAGCAGUCAUGCCCAGCACUCGCAACUUUACAAGAUCCCAAAUUCUCGGUAAUAGUAUCAAGAUUGUUCUAUAGUUUUCAACCAUUAGAGUUUCUAGAUUCCAGAGGUUUGAGAAGAUAAAGGCAGAGAUUCAACUUCUGUCCUAAUGUAUAAGAACCUCAAAUGAUUCAACAUGCAUAUUUCAUUCAGCAAAGAAUCUUUCACCGUGAUAAAAGAGGUAGGCAGUUCCAAGGCUCUAAGAAGCCUCAAAUGUCUUAGAUGAAAUGUAUCAGAAACACUAUCGGCCAACUGCUCGUCUCCAUCUAUGGUCAAAGAAUAGAGGUGUUUACCAGAAUGCCUUUUCUUGUUUGAAUCAAACAAGACAAAAUUGUUAAUCCCCAAUAACCCGCUGUUAUAAUGAAUGGUAAUUUGACGUGGCAUCAAAUCUGAACAAAAAGAUGGUGUACUUGAACUUAUCUGGUCAAACAACUUUUCCUCUCUUGCUUUUAUCAAACAAAAUUCAUGCACUAGAUCAUGAAGUUGGCAAGUCGGGGUAUCACCUAUCUCGUUGAAAGCAAUUACCAAGCUACUGGAAAUUAAGUUAUCCACAUAAACCUUUAUCACUUCUUCCACACUCUUCAUCUCUGUCUGUUCCACAAGUCCUUCAGCAUGCCAUAAACCAUUCAAUGCAUAUAUUGUUAUUGCAGUGUCCUUCAGAAAACUUGCAAGGUAAAGAAAGCAUGGCUUGAUGUGAUGUGGCAAAUAAAGGAACUCAAAUUAUUUUGAACUUCAAGCCACACAGUCUUUUUCUUUUCCCUCCCAGCAAUGACUCCAGCAAUCAGAUCAGCCACCAAAGGAAGCCCUUUACAAUUUUCGGCUAUUUCUUUACCAACAUCCAAUAGUUCAUCAGGGCAACUCUCGUUUCCAAAUGCCCUUUUCUCUAAUAACUCCCAACUUUCUUCUGAUCUUAGCAAUCGAAGCUCAAGAGGAUCAGUAUAGCGCUUUCCAUGCAAAGCCACUUCCUUUUCUCGAGUAGUCAAAAUAAUUCUACUUCCUUUCAUACCAUUAGGAAAAGGUCUUGUUAACUCAUCCCACGUAGUAGUAUCCCACACAUCAUCUAAGACAAUAAGAUACCUCUUUCCAUACAGUUGUUUCCGUAGCUUAUCAGCAACAUCAAUAUUCUCAAUCAAAUUUGAAUCCGAGCCAUUAACUUGAUUAAAAAUUUUAUUCAACAAAUUCUUUUCGUCAUAUUCUUGGUCGACUGUGCACCAUGCGCGAAGGUCGAAAUGACAAGAAAUUGAUUUAUCAUUGUAUACUUUGAAUGCCAAAGUAGUUUUGCCUGAACCCGGCAUACCAGUGAUCGAAAUGACAUCUAGAUCUGCCGGUCCUCUGGUGAGCUCUCUAAGUAUCAGGUUUGUCUCCUCCUCAAAACCUACAAUUAUUUUAUCAGUUGUCAAUGACUUGCUCUCAACUGGUUUCUUGGGAGAGUUCACAACGAUGAGACCUCUGUUCUUGGAAAUGUUCUCAUGUAAAUCAGAGACCUCUUCUUUGAUAAGCUUCAUCUUCUUUAUGGUAAUGGGAAGUGAGAAAAUAAGAUGUAAGAGACCAUUAUCUCGAACAAUAAUUGAAUCUAUGACAUCUUUUGCCUCAUAAGCUACAUCUAGAACACGUUCCCAGAGAUCUUUAUACAAUCCUUGCUCAACAUUCACAAAGAACGAUCUUAUGAAUUCUAGGUCUUGUCUCACCAACUCAAUUUCUUCCUUUAUCAAAGCAAUUGAAUAAGCAUUGGAAUCCAGCAAAUCAUUCAAAUGUAUGUGUAGUAGAUGCAUGAAGAGAGGUCCAUCACUCAUGGGGAAGCAACAUUGAGAUGAAACCGGGACUUUCAGAUAAACAUGUUUGAGAUCUUCCUUGAGGAGUUCAAUAUCCAGCAACUUUAGGGUUGCACGAUUUGUCUCGUCGGUACUCUCUUUAUUCCUUAAUUUCUCUUCUAAGUCGCGAACAAGAGUUGCUACCUCCCUGGUAAGUGCUCCAACACGAGCCAAGAGAUCAAAAAGUUUGUCAUGAUGAAUAAAGUCCUUGGGCAUAUCAGAAAGAAUAAUCAAUAGGAAUUCCAUCAUGACAUGAAUGUUUUGAGCCCCUGAAGUGCUAGGGGUAAUAACAGUUACCAUAUGCUCUUGUAGAUGAGUCAGAUAUUCUCUGAGAAUGUCUGGAGAAGUUUCCAGGAGCUUCUUAGUGAAGCGUCCAACUUCUGCUGAAGUUGAAGCUUUCAAAUUUGUAUAACAUAUGUGCAUAACCUCCAGUUCAGUUGGAACAAUCUUCAAGAGUAGAUGUGCUAGCUCGGAGAGUCGAGAGUCUUCAUCAGUCUGAUCCUCCCAAAGGAAGUGUCCUACUCUCUCAGCCAUGAGUUGAAACAGAGGUAAGACAUUCUCAACCGUCUUAUGGUUAAUGCAACCAUUCACUAUCAAACCAUGGAAAUCUCUUACAUUGCCACAUACAUUCUGAAGAACCUCAUAUUGAGUCACUCCAGGAAACAUCUUUUCAGCACGAUGCUUGGAUAGAUGAUAGAGAUUCAAGAGGAGGAAGUCCAAUUGCUCAUCCAUCAUGGUGACAUCUGAUUUAGAACGAUGAUACAAGCUGAUACAGUCAUCCAUAUUACUGGCGAGGCUAGUAAGGACAUAUUUACACCCGACGUCUUUGCCAUCAUCAUCCAAAAUUGGUUGAAGCAGAUCCUCAACCUCUUGUCUUUUUCUACUCAUUAUAACUUCAAACUGCUCCAAAUCGGAAUAAGAAAGCUGGACAUAUGUACAAAUAAAUGCCAGCUCCAAUUUUAGCUUUUCAACUUGAUCUUUGUCAAGAGCUUUUUGAUUUUCUUCAUUCUCUAAUCUCUCUAGGAUAUCCAGAACAUCGGCAAUGUCCUUGCGAAGAGCAGAAAAUAACACCUGCCAAAGUAACACAUAUCAAAUUUUUAAAGCCACAUAUCUACAGUUCAAUACUUUACAGUUCACUCUAUCAAGUAACAUACCAAUGACUUGUUUGCUUCUUCAUUAUCUUUUCGUUUUUCCAUGAUUCUACUUUUCCUUUCCAAGUUCUCAAGACCUGAAAGAAGAUGAAAUGAUAAGAAUAAUCAAUAAUUUCACUAUUUUCAUGCGAACUUAAGAGGAGGUCUUAAUUAGUGGAAGAUGAUAAAGGUACACUUGCGAUUUGAAUUGAAGAAAAUGAAAUGCUAAGAAUAAUCAAUAAUUUCACUAUUUUCAUGCGAACUUAAGAGGAGGUCUUAAUUAGUGGAAGAUGAUAAAGGUACACUUGCGAUUUGAAUUGAAGAAAAUGACUUGUAAAAAUGGGGUUCAUCCAGAAACGAGACCUAAUGGUACCAAACCUUUCUAUUUUUUAUAGCGUAUAGUAAUAUAUUUUCAUUAGUAAGGGGAAUCUUUCGUCAUCUUAGAAAAAAUCUAAAAGAUCUGCUUCUAUUCACUCCGCACUCUCCAACCCCCUCCCUCUCACCCGGUAAGAAUUCACCCGCACUGGAUAUUAAUCAAACUAAUACAACUUAUCAUGAGUAAGUAAUAAUUUAAUGAGGUGAAAAUAUACAUUAACUAACCACAAUUAAAGUGAUAAUGUCGUGCAUCUAUUGAUUUGUUGUAAAUCGGUGGUGUGAGUAAGUAUUUAGCCCUCUCUCUUUCUCCUGCAUUUUGUUUACCUCUCUCUUUGUGAGAUCCAACUAACUCACCAAAGUUCUUUCAUUUUUCUUACAUCAUUUUUACUUUUCCAUAAUUUUACUUCAAUAGAGAUGAGAGUAGCAAAUUAUUAGAUGAGUUGACGAACCUUUUUAGUUGAUGAUGAAACUAUAUAUCCUCUGCUUGCUUUGUUAUUAGAUCUAUAGAGCUCAAAAUUCUGGAAAUAAACAGAGGAAUAAUUAAGACCAAAUAUGAUGCAUAGUAUUAUUCCAAAAAAGUAAGAAAGCAAAAGCAUGAUUAAAUUACAAUGGGGACUCACUUGUCUGCCACAAAGGAUAAAGAUAAGAAAGUUAAUCAAACUUUCAAUAAUCUGCUCACACUAUUUUCUUAUUGCCCGUCCAAAAAAUAUUACUCUCUCUGUCUCAAUUUUAGAGCUGUCAAUAUGGGCUAGCCCACCCCAUCCGGGCUAACCCAUACAUGCUUUGACAUUUUACGGGUCAGGCCAGGCUAGCCCAUUUUUGGUGUGGGCCAGAAAACGAUCGGCCCAACCCAUAAGUACGUGGGCUACAGGCUUGCCGGGCCAGCCCACUUUUUUAAAAGUUAUAUAUUUUUUUAUAAUUAUUAAAUUAAAUUAUAAAUUAUAAUUUAAAAAUAUUAUCAUAAAUAUCGAUAAAACAAUAUUACAUGGUGUUAAUGUUACUACUUGUUAAUCAAAUCCACAAAUAAAAUUAUCUUUAUAAUAUUUAUUAAGUUUUUUUCAAGUAAAAGUAUAAAUAUCUAAAUAGAAAUAUUAACUCAACUGUUUUGCAAUAAUCACAAUAAAAUACAAAAAAUAUGACAAUAUUCCAACCAUAAAAAUGUAAAAAAUAAACUCCUUAAAAAAUCAUGAAACUUAUGGCGUAUCUAACACUUCAUGAAACCUAUGGCGUAUCUAACACUUCAUGAUCAUCUUCAUCAAGCAUAUCUGAAUCANNNNNNNNNNNNNNNNNNNNNNNNNNNNNNNNNNNNNNNNNNNNNNNNNNNNNNNNNNNNNNNNNNNNNNNNNNNNNNNNNNNNNNNNNNNNNNNNNNNNNNNNNNNNNNNNNNNNNNNNNNNNNNNNNNNNNNNNNNNNNNNNNNNNNNNNNNNNNNNNNNNNNNNNNNNNNNNNNNNNNNNNNNNNNNNNNNNNNNNNNNNNNNNNUUUCGAGUAGCAACAAGUGUUUGGACAUUUUCAUGGUGGAUGCAACUACUAUACUUAGUGAUUUUCUAAAAAACUUUAAAUAGAUUUUGAGUUUGGAUCUCUUUAAUUUUAAAUUUUAAUAUUAUAUUAUAUUUUUUAAUUAAUUUGUAUUAGCCCACGGGCCGGCCCUACCUAUAUUUCUCAAGCCCCACAAAUCAGAAACUAUUUAAACCAUAUAUAUAAAUAGUGUAAUUAUCCGUCAAAGAGGGUUUGAAUGAACCCUCUCGACCUUACCUGACUCCCCCGAUAAAAGGCCCUAUUAAAUCCCGGGUUAGGCCAGGCUGGUCCAACAGGCCUAGCCCAUAUUGACGGCUCUACUCAAUUUAUGUGACACAUUUCAGAUUUUGAGAUUCAACAUGAAUAGAUUCAUUUUCUAAUCAGGGUGGCUUGCAUUUUCCUUAAACUUUUUGACUGUAAAUUUUUCAUUUAUCUUUUAAAUAUUUUGAAUCAUCAAUUAUUGAGACUUAUAGUACUUUUUAUGUAGUUUACAAAUAUAUAAAUUUCAUUUUAAAUAAUUUGAAGAUUCCAUGAGCAAAUUCUCGGUCAUAUGUGUUGACACCCAAUUUUGGCCCUCCCCGAUAAUAAUNAUAGUGUUGACACCCAAUUUUGGCCCUCCCCGAUAAUAAUUGAUUUUCGAGCUUCUUAAUUUCCAAACGAUUUAGAAUAAUUAGUCUUAUAAAAUUCAAAUAGUUUCAAGGUUGUUUUAAGUAAUUUCAGUCGACUUUUAUAGCAUUUUGAAUAAUAAAUAUAUUUUAUAUAGUUAUAUAUGUAAUUAGUAUAUUUUUAUAAAUAUUCGAAAUCAUAUCAAAAAGAUUUUGUCUUAUUAAUUUAGUCUAGAUUAAACCAUGAUUGUAAUUUUGAAAUUAAUUAGUUUGUAUUUAGGUUAAUCAUAUUUUAUUAAAUUAAUUAUGUUAUUUCGUUAUGAUUAAGAAGCUCGUUAGUUAAUUAUAUUGAUUCUUCUUAUUUAGAGUUUAGCCGAAUUUACCAUUUAAUUCAAACUUGGUCAUAUUGCUAGGUCAAUUUUGACCAAUCGUAAUCUAUAUGAUUAAAUUCUAAAGGAUUUGGCUUACUCCUAUUGAACCAUUUUGUUUUCUAUUAAUUUCAAGACCAUCACAGCCCAUUUCCCAUUCCAAUUCAUCAGCCCAGGCCCACUUUCAUUUGUUCACAAGACCAACAAUACUAUACAUAAUACAUUCAACAACUCCAAACAACGUACAAUACAAACGACCCCAGUACCCACGCUUCUUCUUCCUCGCGUGAACAGCAGCGAACGACGACAAAUCCAGCAGUCCAACUUCUCUCUCCAGAUAGUAUGAUUCCAACAGCUGCGUCCUCUGUCCCACCCGUCCUUCCCUCUUUCCCCUUUCGGAAUGAGUUAAAACCUCAAGAAAAGGGUGUUUGUCCGAAAUGGUGAAAGUUUUCGGAUUUUGAAAUUCAAAUGGUCCCUUGCUUUGAAUCCGAAUUCUAUCCGUUUUCCCCCCUAAAAGGAUUGGAACCCUAAAACCUCUCUAUAAAUACUACCCUCUGUUUUAGUAUCUGGGGGGAUUUUUUGGAUCUUAUUUUUUCAAACGAAAUAGAAGUCAAGUUUUCUUGGUAGAGAAUAACCUUUAGGAAUAAGUAGCAAUACACUCCUUAAUAGAGAUUUGCUAGGACUUCUGCCCAAUUUCCGUGACUACCGUUCGUAUUCGAGUCUCUCUUGGUGAAAGCCGUCACUUCUAGGCUCAUCUCGUCUCGUUCGCUGCCCGGAAAGAGGUAAACUCCUCUUAGCUUUUCUGUUUAAUGCUCAGCUCCUUCGUUAAUUUUAUUUGUGUUAUUAAGAGCGUUGAUGGUAAAAUCAAAUGUUGGCUCGGUAACCUGCCUAGAUUUCUUUUAGAUACGAUAACUAUGUGUUUCAUCAUGGGGGAUUUUCUUUUCGUCUAAAUCGAUGUUUCUGAUCAUAGUAUGUCUCAAAAUCAUGAAUGUUGUUACUCGUAAAUCGUAAAUGAUAAAUACAUCGCUUUAUGUGUAUGAUGCUGGCUCUUAGAAAUCUACUGCUCCUCUCUUGUUCUAGUAUAGUUCCAAGCAUGUUUCAUUAAUUGUUUACCUCAAAAAAUAGCUUCUGGCAUCAUAAUUUCUCCAGUAUUGCCACAUCUCUUACGGUUUUGACUAAAAAAUGAGGUGUUUUGUUUUGUUUUGUUUAAAUCUGAACCUCUCGUGGGCUGUUUAAGCUCAAUGUCACAUCUGUUCAAAUUUCAACUCCCCGAUGUGCUCGUCUUAAUUUCCAUUUCAUACUCAGUACAUCUCUAGGUUUAUUUGUUUCGGUGUAAUUAUUUGUGUAUUAGUUAUCAUGAGUUAGGAUUCGUUAGAUUCACGGUGAAAAUCUUCUUUGUCUUGACUAAAAUUUAGUCACUGUUUUGCUUUAAAAUGUAGAAAAUGCCUUGUCUCUUCUUUUGCCUUUUCAACUAGAAUUCAUUAGCUCUUGAUUGGUUGUUAUUCUAUUUAUUUCCAUGUGUUGAAAAUAAUAAGUUGAAUCAAUAUGUCCAUUAUUAUCAUAUACUGAUUCUAUUUUUUUUUUCUUUUGCGUAUGUGAUAUUCCGAGAGAAUCCAUUUUGGUUUCGACCUUUUUUUCUCCAUUUGCAUUUUCGGUUGGGCCACCAUAGGCCCAAACACGAGUCAUUUGCGAUUCGGUAUUUGUUCGAAUCAUAUUGGCAACCAAUAUAGAACAGUGAGGCUGAAAUAUGGUUCCGGAAAGCUGAAACAACCUGAGAUACAGCCUGUAUACAUAGAUAUACAGCGGGACAUACUGAUAUACAGGUUAAAACGCAGCAGCCACAGGUCAAAAAAUAAAGGAUGGGGUCGGAAGCUGAAAUACAGGUCCUAGAAUCUCAGAAAAAUGGGUUGUAUACAUCCGAUAUACACGGAUAUACACCGGAUAUAUACAAAAACGGGUUUAAGAUUAAACCCCAAAAUUUCAGCGAAUUUGGCCCAAAAAGAGGCCCAAAUUCAAUUUCUCCCUUACUCUUUAAUUAUUUAAUUAUGAUUAUUUAUUGUUCGUUGUUUAACUCUAACUUUAUAUUUGUUAAUUAACUUAAUUAAAAUCCCCAAAAGAUGAACCGUAUUCUUUAUGUUAGAUAUAUUUCAACAAAAUUUCCUUUUUAUCAACUCUCCUACUAUUAUUGAAAACUUUUACUUAAUUUUCGGUUAAUUUAAAAUAGUUUCCAUACUUUGAUUGACCAAAUGGGCCUAAAUUAUUAUUUUUAAGGGAUUCAAAAAUAAAAUAAAAAUUCUAAUUAAUCUAGAUUUGCCAAAUGCUAAUUGCUUACAAAUUAAUUCGAGUAUUCCAGUUAAAGAUUCAAUUUUCCUAAGAAACUAAGAAUUGUUCUUUUUAACUAUUUUUCUCAAAAUUGAUCAAAUAUUAUAAGUUAUUAUGUCAACAAAUCAUUUUUUUUAAAAGAUUAGUGAAAGUCAUUUUUAGUCAAAUUGCCGGUCAACCGCAAGUUAGCGGGCAUUCCGAGGGCCAAACACCUUCUCGGAAUGUACAUUUGAACUCGAACCCUUUUUCAAUUGAUUUUAUCUGUUUAAAUCUUUUGAAAAAUCUUGUAUUUUUUCUUGAUUUUUUAAUAAAAAUUAAGUGGCGACUCUGUCCUUUUGGAAAUUCGAUUUCACUUAAAUCGCCUGGCCCCGAUCAAGCCUCAAGGGCUAAGGGCCUAAGGGUUGGGCUUAUAAGCCUCGAUUUUAAACGGGCUUGAAAAAUCAUAUCCCAACCCUGCCCCAAUAACGGGUUGGGCUGGGCUGGCCCUAUGGGCUAAGCCCUUUUUGACGGCUCUAUAUUUUAUACUUGCUUAUGUGACUUGAAUAUGUUUUUAUUUUUGAAUUCUCAAAUAGGUAACAUAAUAUAGAUGUUUGGGUUUUGGUACCUUUUAGUUAGAAACAACCUUUAUUAGUCGCUUUAGCUUUUAUAAACUUCAUUUGGCAAAUUCUUUUUAAACACUUCUUUUUGCACCACUUUAAACUCACUAGAUUUAUUUAAUUUUGUUCAAACUUGACAAUGUCUUUCAAAAAUAUAUAUAAUAUAUUUUGUUCUAAACUCUUAUUUUUUCUAAAGGGAGCACUUUGUCAAUCAAUGAGCAAAUGUCUAAUUUAAUUACCUUUUUCAGCCAUGGACUACGAAUUUGUCUAAAUUGAUCUAAAGAAAUUACUUUCUUAAAUCUUUUUCAUUCUAAUAAAGUUGCAAAAGAGCUUUUAAAAUAAAAAAUAUUUUCCAACUUGGUUACUCAAUUACUUAAUUUCUAGCACUCAUAUCAUUCUUUUAAAUUUAAUUAACCUAAGUUUGGUCGGUUAACUGUUUUUUACGGAUCUUAAAGGAUGCCUUAUCCCUUUCCUUUAGGAUAAAUUAGAACCCGUACCUAGAAUCAUGCAAGUUAAAUAGACCAUUUAAUUGAAGUUAUUUUAGUAUUACUUAGUUAAAUAUUUAGGUGUCCUAAUUCACCAUAAUUAAUUAGGUGGCGACUUUUUAAGUUAAUUAAUUUAGAAUCACCAAAAUGUUAUACACCGUUUGGACCUCGAGUUAAAAUGGGGUAUAACAAUACAUAUGAAUAAUUUGUACUUAAAAAGAUCCAAAAAAAUAAUAAUAAUUCUAUUUUGUAUAUUGAAAAAAAAAACAUAUUAUGUUGCAGAUGAAGAGAAAUAUCAAUAUUGUUUUAUAUAUCAGUUAAAAACAUUACAGUUACUCAAUAAAUGUAAUAUUUUUCGUUACAACAUUAAUGCUUCGAUUAAUUCAAGCAUGUGGAUGUUCGUUAUUAAAUAAUCACACAACUUAUUUUGUCACCUCACUCACACAGCCACACAAUAUCUUUAUAAAAGUUUUCACUUUAAUUAUUGUAUUCUAAAUAAACUUGAAUGAAAUGUGUAGUUUAACACUUGAUGGAGAUAUUCUGAGCUAUACAUCAGAGACGGAUCUAGAAUUUAAGUUUUAUGCAUUCAAUAUUAUUUUUAAAGUUAUAGGUUCACAUCUAUUAUUUGUUAUAAUUUUCAUGAAAAUUUAUAUAUAUAUUUUGCAUGUAUGGUGCAGUGAAUAUCUUAGAUUAGUGUAUUUUAUUAUCAUGGUUUUUGUAAUAUUUCAUUUUUUUUUAUGUAGGCACCUAACAUAGCAUUAGAUAGGGGUGUACAAAAUCGAACCGAAAAUCGAACCAAACCGCAAACCGAAAAAAAAAACCCGACUAGUGGUUUGGUUUUGUAUUGAAAAAAAAUCCGACUAUAUUUGGAUUGGUUUGGUUUUAACNNNNNNNNNNNNNNNNNNNNNNNNNNNNNNNNNNNNNNNNNNNNNNNNNNNNNNNNNNNNNNNNNNNNNNNNNNNNNNNNNNNNNNNNNNNNNNNNNNNNNNNNNNNNNNNNNNNNNNNNNNNNNNNNNNNNNNNNNNNNNNNNNNNNNNNNNNNNNNNNNNNNNNNNNNNNNNNNNNNNNNNNNNNNNNNNNNNNNNNNNNNNNNNNNNNNNNNNNNNNNNNNNNNNNNNNNNNNNNNNNNNNNNNNNNNNNNNNNNNNNNNNNNNNNNNNNNNNNNNNNNNNNNNNNNNNNNNNNNNNNNNNNNNNNNNNNNNNNNNNNNNNNNNNNNNNNNNNNNNNNNNNNNNNNNNNNNNNNNNNNNNNNNNNNNNNNNNNNUUUUUAUUGAAUAUUUUUGUGUCAUCAGUACUAAUCUCAUAUUUUGUGUAGUUUUUUAAGAAACACCUUAGAUAAUUGUAUUUUGGUUGGACUAAAGAAAUAUUUGAAGCACAAGUUAAUUAUAUGUUUGUAUGCAAACUUUACCGAAAAAAUUCAAAAAUCUGAAAAAAUCUGAGGUUUAUUAGUUUGGUUUGAUUUAUAAAUUUAAAAAUUCGACACAAUGGUUUGGUUUGGUAUUUGAAAAACCCGAAUCAACCCGAGGUUGAAAAACCCGAAAAAAUCCAAAUUUUAUUAGUUUGGUUUGGUUUAUAAAUUUAAAAAUUUUACACAAACGGUUUGGUUUGAUAUUUGAAAAAUCCGAACCAACCCGGUCAUGUACACCCUAGCUAUAGAGAGCUUUCUUAAACAUACCGAGGAGUUGUUUGCUUUCUCUUCCUCUCUUUCUUCUUGAUUUUGUUUUCCUCUUUCCAUGAUUGUAACUUUCCUUUCAAGUUCUCAGGAUCGGACGUAUAAAAAGUACCUACAUAAAACUUUACUCUUUAGUAUUUGUUAGCAUUUGUAUUUUCAACACAACAAAAGUAUAGUAUAUAUUAUUCUUAUUAAUUUUGUUGAGAUAUUGAUCAAGGUUAGAUGAAUUUUUUUUGACGAAUAGUAAUUUUAGAUGCAAUUAGUCCCUAACAACUAGAAAUGUCAAAUAUUAAUCACAUAUAACAUGUUAUGGCGUGAAAAAAUAAACAUAAUAUCCCAAAGUUGUUGCAUUUUAAGAAAAAGAAGAUGAAGGAAAAUACAAGUCCCAGAUAUUCGAGAAAACAAAACCUAUCAAUACAAAUAUCUUUCCUGUUUUUAUGCCUCGUAUAUUAUUUUAGCUACCCUCCUUAUCAUGUUCUUUCAUUCCUUCAAACCAUAUGAUAUACGAAACUCAAUUUUGUAAAUAUAUACGUCUACCUAAUAUUCAUAUUACAAGUUGACUAAGACUUGUGGAGAUGGUGUUGUGGUUUAUGAGAAUUGAUGGAAGCCUACGAGCAACAAUAAAGUUGUCUCCAUGUAACAGUAAAGAAGCCACUAAUAUUUCUACAGUAUCCUCUUGGGGUGCGAUCCUUCCAUUAAUCCUACCAUUUUCUUCCUCCUCCUAUCUUUCUCUUUCAUUUCUUCUUUCCAUGAUUGUACUUCCCAAUAGUCAAUACCAAAGGGUAUGAAGGUCAUAGAAGAAAACAAUUAUGCAGAUAUAGUCAGACAUAUAAAAAGUCAUUUUCGAGAUAUUGAUCAAGGUCAAAUAUCAAAUGGUGCUUACAAAACGUUAUCCACAAUGUUAAUUUACACACAAAAAAAAGAAGAAGAGUAGUUUAUAAGUAGUACUUAACAAGAUCCCAAAUUCUCGGUAAUAGUACCAAGCUUUCCUUAGCUUUUGUGGGGGAUAGCGAUCUAGGCCUCCACUAUGUUCUCUCUGGUUGUGAGAGGCUCCGUAAGUUGGAGAUUAGAAACUGCCCCUUUGCAGGGGCGGCCCAACAGAUCUCGUGGCCUAAGGCAAAAUCAUAUUAAGAGGCCCUUAAAUUUAUUUUAUAAAAUUUAUACACUAACAAAAAAAUUUAUUUUCUACACAAUAGAUUAAUUAUUUAAGACAAAAAAUAACAAAUUUCAUACAAAAAAAAAAGGAAGAAGAGUAAAAAAAAUAAAGUGAUGGAUUAUCGAUGUUAAGCUUCAAAUCUCAAAUUGAAAGUUUAAUUUGGCUAUCAUCAAAUAAGAAAAAAGAAAAAAACCACUAUAUCAAAAAUGAUCUUUGCCGCUAAAUUAAUUAACAACAAUAGCUCAAUUGCCGCUAAAUAUGUAUUUUUAGCGGCAAUUAACACUCUUUGUAUAUGUCCCUAAAGCCUUUAGCGACAUUGAAUCUAAUGACACUUAACUAAUGCCGGUAAAAACUUUAGCAUUCUUUAUUAAUGUAUCUAUUUAUCGCCACUAAAAGUUGUUUUUGUUGUAGUGAACAUUAACUUAAUAGUUAAGGUUUUGAGUAUGGAUAGUAAGAAAAAUAUAUACACCUUCUUAUCAAAUUUAUGAUCAAUUUAAAUGAUACAAUUUUUUUUAAAUGAUAUAAUUCAUUCCAUUAAGUAGCACUCAUUGGUGAAUAUCUAAAAUAAAUUAUAAAACUUUCAUAUAAUAUAUUAAAUUAAAGUUAAUUAUUAAGGUUUUGAGUAUCGAUAGUAAUAACAAAAAUAUAUACACCUCCUAUCAAGUUUCUGAUCAAUUUAAAUGAUAUAAUUCAUUCCAUUAAGUAGCACUUAUUGGUGAAUAUCUAAAAUAAAUUAUAAAACUUUCAUAAAAUAUAUUAAAUUAAAAUGUAAAGGAAACUUGUGCAUGAAUGUUUUUGUGUUCGCGCAGUUUAAGAAAAGAUUGAAACAAAAAAUCAUUAUGUUAUCACAUAUAGAACUUAGUUCCUAUAUAAAAAGGAUAAAAUUUAAAAUCGGAAGUUAAAACAAAGAUAUCAAAUAAUAAGAUGAAAAGAUUAUGAGAUUUUAUGAAUUUAUUGGUAAAAAAUACUCUCAAAGAAAUAAUAAUAAAAAAUAUACCAUAAAAAUUUUAUUUAUAUAAAUUAUAUUAAUAUAUAAUAAAAUCAAUAACAAUAAUUUAAAUAAUUUGGGGCCUUCAAAUUUUUGAGGCCUAAGGGAAUGACCUCACUGGCCAUGCCUUAGAGCCGCCCCUGCCCCUUUGGCGAUGAGGCUCUGUUGGCUAAUGCUGCAAAGCUGGAGACAAUGUGAUCCCUUUGGAUGUCUAAUUGUUCAGUAAGUUUUGAAUCAUGUAAGCUACUACCCCAGAAGUUGCCAGGGCUUAAUGUUGAAGUUAUAGAUGAGAGGGGUCAUCCGGAUAUGAGACCAGAAAGUUGCCCUAUUGAGAACCUUUAUAUAUACAGGAAAGUGUCAGGAAGGAGGUUUGACACUCCUGGUUUUGUUUGGAUUAUUGAUGAAGAUGCAGCAUUGACUCCAUAUAGCAACGGGAAUUGGUCUCUGGCUUCUUCUUAGGAAGACUUCAGGUAUAAGUUCUAUGUUAAUCUUUCACCCGCGUUUACUUGCUUGAGCCUUGUGUAGUUGCAGUGCUGGUUAUGGUGGCAGUGAAGUGAUUUGACCCUUUGUUGAGCGACUUCGCAGCAAUUAAUUACAAAUAAUGAGUUUAAGCUCUUGUUGUUGUGCUAUAUCAGUAAGGACAACUAUUGUAUUUUUGUGAUGGAGGGGGGGAUGUUCAACUGUGUAUCCUAUUUUGUAUCAUUAUGUAGCAGUUUAACUUUCUCUAGUGACUUGUUCUUCUGUUGAAAUGGUGCUGUCAAUGUACUUCUCUGGUCAUGUAUUGUUGUAAUUCCCUUUGAAGAUUAAUAUGAACCCUUCAUUCAUUUGAGUGCUGGAAAUCUCAUCUGUUGAACGUUUAGAAGAAGGUAUUGCAGUGUUCUACUACGAGUCAGUUUGAUACACAAACACUUAUUUUCGUUCAGAGUGGGAUUUCAGCCUAAGUUGGUUGUAUGUUCGAGGAGAGGAAGUCACGAGUGCUUAUAAGCUCACUUCACGGCCUAGCUUUUGUGAUGAAAGUUCGUUGGGUUUGUGACAGUAGUAUCAAUGUCGUUUUAAAUCAGUACCUUGAUUGAGGUUAAACGAUCAUGCUUUGCGCACAUAAGAUGGGACUUCAGACCAUGUUAGACACAAAGGAGGUAUAACCAAAGGCAAAUCCACAGUGUAAUGUAUGAAUUUAAAUAGGGAUAAUACAUAUAUUUGACCUUAAACUUGGCUUCAAAUUUUAACUUUGACCUCCAACUUUCAUAGUGCACAAACAAGCACUUUAACUAUCCAACCUUUUAAUAAAUAAACACGCGAUUUUUGGAUCCAAGAGCGUGAAAAGCACACGCUGCCACGUGUAUUAUUGAGCCACUCAAUGGCUGCCAACUAAUUAAACACUUUACACCUCCAUUUUAGAACUAAAAAAAAAUAAAUUAAUCAAGGGUAGAGUUGUCAUUUCAGCAUUUUUUUCACUGUUGUGUGCCUCAAAAAUUACUUCUCACUCGCGCAAAAUGCGUGCACAUCACGCGUUUUGCCAGGUAAGACACGCGUGUUUAUUUAUUAAAAGGUUGGAUAGUUAAAGUGUCUAUUUGUGCACUUUGAAAGUUGGAGGUCAAAGUUAAAGUUUGAAGCCAAGUUUAAGGUCCAAUAUAUGUAUUAUGCCAUUUAAAUAUGUGAUUGUGAAUCUAAUUAUUAUUGAUAUAAACGUGAGGUCGCCAUAAAAACACAUCAAAUCCUGGAUUCGUCUUGCAUACGAUAAUAUAGACGGAUAAUAUCGCAUUGUACAAGAAAAUUAAUGUGUGUGAGUGCAAAGAAAAAAAUAAAGAGAGAAUGUACAAGGGCAAACAAGAAUAAGAGAUACCUAGUAACAAAAUACUGUACUAUUGUAAGAAAAGCUGUCUGCCAAAAAAGUGUAUAAAGUAAAAGUACAGAAAGCAGUGAUAGGAAUAGUAGUUUGGUGUACAAGAUUAAUGUUUAGAAUAUCAACUUUAGAUAGUCACUUCAAUUUGGCAUCAACAUCAUAUAUAAGCGCUUACCUUAAACUGACGUAUGAUCAAGUGUCAUUUCAUGCAACUUCAAAUAUUUGAGAUUCUCAAAGGUGUCUUCCUCCCCCAUGUUCCAUUCUCCCCCCUGAAUGAUUGUACGAUAAAGGGACAACUCUUCAAGGUUCGGCAGUCUCGCUAUUGUUGAUAGUGAAUCGGAUGUCAGAGGAAAGUCACCCAACGACAAAUUUUUCAAACUAGAAGGGAAGUGAAAAUCCCAUGGCCGAUUUAUGGCUGCAGAG
rnacentral:lncRNA from 1 species